UCGACAACUGUAUAAACACAGUAGGCCUAAUAGUAUUCAAAUUACGCUUUUAUAAAAUUUAUUAUCGAUUAUUGUCGAUAAAACGGAAACGGCACGAGUUAUCGAGGAAAACUUGUACUGCAUAUUGAAUAGACGAGUAUGCAUGUAAAAUUUCAAAUCUGCUGUUCUUAUAUUUUCUGAGAUCUCGGCGUUCAUACGGAUGGAUGGACGCAAAAACGGGGUCUACCACACCUCCUUCUGCCUAUUACAGUUUCAGAAAAACAUUAUGCCCUGAUUCCCCAUUUUCAAUGAUAAUGAUGGCAGUACUAAUAAGCUGAAUGGCGAUUGAGUGCGAUACACAAUUCAUUUAAGUGGUAGGUACUUACAUGCAGCAAUGCAAGUUUGAAAGCGUGGGCCGUCCUCAAACAUUCCUAUAUCGCCAAUGCAAUCACCAGGUCCAAACAUGAAUUGGUCUUCAAUCUUAAAAUUUGAAAUUCGGUGAUUGAACUUGGAAUUUUAAUUUAAAUUUACCUCGGAAAUAUUUCUUUUAGGCAUGCCAAUUUCUCCCGCUACAAUAAAAUAGAUUAAAAACGG